CUCAAUGGUAGCUGUGCGCAGGGCGCCUUCGGGUGCGCCGGUAAUGCUUGGGUACUGGUCGACUAACCUGCGUACAGCUGCCACCUAU
rnacentral:antisense_RNA from 1 species